AUAAUGGUGUCUUUAGACACCACCUUUGAUCUUUGAAAAUUUUUGU
rfam:Picea glauca, whole genome shotgun sequence.